UGUUUUUUCUUUAUUACUUCUAUUUUUUCUAGUCUGAACCAGAGGGUUUUUCUCACUUCCACUUGUAUGUCUGUGCUGCCUUCCUUGUCAGGUGGAGGAAGGAGAUUCUGGAGGAGAAGGACUUUCAGGAAUUGCUGAUAUUUUUACAGAAUUUGCCCACAGCACACUGGGGAAAUGAAGAAAUCAGUGUACUCCUAGCAGAGGCCUACAGACUGAAGUUUGCAUUUGCAGAUGCCCCCAAUCAUUACAAGAAAUGAAUACGAAGAUCCAGAAAUUAUUAAGACCGAUGUGUUCUGCAUUAUUAUGGCAUCUGUUGUUUUGAUUGUGAUUUCAGCUCAUUGUUCUUUCAUUUGAAUUGAGAUGACCAUUAGAAUUCUGUUGGAAUUUGGAAAAUGAGAACAGAAUACCAAAGAAAUGGACAAAAAAGAUACUGAGUAAUGAAUGAAUUUAACUGAAAAGAGAACUUUUUUGUUCAGCAUGAAAAAUUAAUUCAGAAGUCUAUCACAAAAUUGUCUUCUUUUUUCCCCUCCUAUAAUUUGGUGAAAUGGAGUUGAAUGUAUGUUGAACAAUUCUUAUACAUGCCUGAGUCUUAGAAUUUCUCAGAAUGAUUUUGUGACUGUUUUGUUGCUAUGUCAUGACUUUAUCAGGCAGUUGGGAUUACUCAUUUUGGAUGAGAAAAACAAAGCUCUUCACAGUCAAGACCAUUUGAGGCACAAGACCUGUGUUUUGAGGACUGUUUAUAAACAGGAGGAUGCUGAUAUUCUCAUACCAUCUUUCAUUGUUCCAUGGAGUUCCAUGGAGUUAGAAUGCAAUGAUAUAAGAAAAUAAAAGGGUGCAGUGGAAAUUGAUGGCAUUUUCUAAACAUUAUUCAGUAUUGUUGGGUGUUGUAGAAGGUUUUAGCCAUACGAAGAAGUGACUUUACACCUAAGACUCAUCAGUAACACUAAGAUAAGUUCCUCUUUAUAUAUUCAGGAGUGUUUUUAAAAUAUUGAAUGGAAGGUGUGGUAUUGUUACAAUAAUUAAAGCCUUUCUUUCAAGGCCUUUCAGUUUUUCAUUAUUAGAUUUCACUUUUAAGAAUCUUACUAAGAAGCUUGGUUUACAAAGCAAGAUAUAUUUUUAUCUCAGUUGUUGCCUUAUUCUCCAUUUCUAGUGCAUUAGAAAAGGAAAAUUAAUAUAUCUGUUCAAAGCUCAUUUGUUAAAUAAUUUAGUACCUUUUUUCUUAUUAUUCAGAAGAAGUGAAAAGAUAGUUCCCAAUAACUGUACACACAGCUCACUUUCACAACAUGAGCAGAAUAAAAAUUCUCUGUGACUGUGCAGAAUGAAAGCAAUGUUUCUUGAAAUAAUGGUGGGAUUCGGAAUAAUUUCUUUGAAACUUACACAAUUUAUGUCCACUAUUUAUUCUCAAGAAAUCUUUUCAGAUAAGAAUUCUCUAUUAGACGUAACUAAACUCAUGUUAAUUUGUGCCUUCCAUAAACACAUGGGUACUAGAAGCUCUGAAUAUUCGUCAGUUUGGUUCUAGAGUUGCACAGUGUCACACAAAAAGUAUGGUGCACUUUUAAGUUUGGGAAAUAAAGUUCUUUCAAGAAGUAUUCUCCUAUGACUUGUUAUUGGAAGAUUAUUUUAAAGUUCCUAAAAAUACAUAGAUAUGUAUUUUGAUCAAAGCUUUGUAGACAUAUUAGUUACAUUACUUAUUUUAGGGGCUUUAGUUCUUGACAUCAGCUGUAUAAUAAAUAACAAGUUGUUUCAGGGUAAAAAGAAUGAAAUACGUGUCAUAAUGAGAUCUGUGUUUUAAAAUUAAAUGAACUUUAUGGUAGAAGAGGAAGCAAUUAAUUAAUUCCGAAGCACAGGGUUUGCUGACGAGGGUGCACUUCUGUCCCGCUGACAGCAGCUGGGGUUUUCAGUUGUGUUGGCCACAAAUUGAUGCCUCCUGGAUUGCUGCACCUUGCCGGGGGUCUGUAGUGGGGCUCUGUUUCUGAAACGUGUGUAAAUUGUUUCUGUAAGUUCACGUUGACACGCUGUAAUGUAUGGAGAUUUGUCUUGAUGUUUACAAAGAACGUCAUAUUGUGCCUAACAGAAUAUCUGCUAAUAACAGAGUAAAAGAAAUUUAUGACCGUUUGCUUUAGUCUUUGUAUUCACAUUAAUUUGUUAAUAGAAAAGCAUACUAUUGUAACUAGAGAAAAGACACGCAGCAUUAAAUGUACAAUGUUGUAAGAGAUUUCUAUAAUAAUUAUUGUUUUUUACUUGAGAUGUUAUUUAGGUAGUUACACGUAACAUGGAAAGUUGACCCAAAGUUGUCUGCAGUGUCAGAUGCUUCUGCAUAGCACACACGAGGCUGGAUGCAUAAAAUUCCUUGAUGGGUCCAUGCAAGUUGUCUGCCAUGUCUUCCAAACACAGCCGCUGUCUCUGACUUCCCUUGGAAGAAAGCAUUACCAUCAGAGGUCACGUUUACUACUGUGUCUGUGUCAGAAGUUGAAUAUUGUACUUGAGCACAUUGCUUUUAAGGAUAGCGAGACGUUUCCUAAUAUCGAUGCUUAUUUAUAUAGAUACAGAUUUUUCUGGAAAAUAAGAGAUAGAUAUAUAAAUAAAGUUAUAUAUCUAUACAGAUAGGAAUCAUUUGCAGGAAAUAGACGGCCAACAUUUAUGUAACAUUUCAAAUGUUUCCAUACGUUUAAAUUUCCAUAAAAUAUUUCACCAACCAACCGCCUUGCAUUGAACAUCUCAGGAAAAAUGUCAUUCCAAGCAUAAUGCUACACAGAAAAGGAAAUAACAUAAUCGUUGUUACAUCCCAUCUUCAACAAUUUUUUUUUUUCUUUCAAAAUUCGAGGUUCUGAAUAUUGUAAAAUUCCUUUGUAAUAUCUAUUUUCUUAUGAAGGAGGCACCCGGACACAUCACUGGUGAAACCAGGCAGUAAUUUCCUAGAACUGAUGUGAAAUACUGAAAUUGCAGUGUCUAAAAUGCGUUAAAGAAUUUAUGUAAUAAAAAUUUAAACAGGAAUGUACAAUAUAAACAGAUUUAUGACUACAGUAUUUGAAAUAUGUAAAUAGUAAACGAAUUACUCAAGUAUGUAAAUACAAUACACGGGAUAGGAUAGAAUUGUAAGUUUGAAAUCUUAUGUAAUGCUGUAAUAUGUUAUAAGAAAUUAAUUGCUUUUUUUUUUUUUUGCUCCGUUCCUUAUGGAAAGGACCAUUAAUUUGUUUUUUACUUCAGAACUGUAUAAUAAAAGUAUCUGAAGUUCCAUUGUAUGCUUCUGACAAAUAUUAACACUGAGGCACUGGUUACAUCUGUAAAACUGAUGAAAGAUGAGGAAAUAAAUGCAUAUUUAUGAAGUGCU